ensembl:lncRNA
UUCUGUUCACUGCAUUUUGGUGUGUGGUGUUUGAACCACAGGACUUGGGUAUGUCCUUCUCUCAGAAUUUCGUUGAGUGCCUUUGAUUUCUUCAAACAUCCAUUGUAUCUUUUUUCAUGUAGGUUUGUGAAAUAUCUUCAGUACAUAUCAGAAAUAAUAAUAAUAAUAAUAAUAAUUUCUACCACUGAUCCAGAAUUUCCUUCUCAGGUAGAUAUGGUAAAGUAGUCUUUUUCUCACUUCAUUAACAUGUUAAGAUCUAUAUGAAAAUGAUCCUUUUCCUUGUUAUCUGUAAAUCUACUCCACUAUUUUUUCAAUUUCUUCUGCUCCAUCUUUCUCAGUAGAUUUAAUUUGUCUUUAAAUUUAGAUUUGUGCAUCAGAUGUUUCCAGACCUAGGAACGACUUGAUGUCUGAGUUUUGUCUCCUGUAUUUUCUCACUUGCCAGCAGCUCCUUUUUGCCUACAUGAGUAGAGAAUAUCUGAACCAUCAGUUUAAAAAUCAACCACAGCAGCAGAGUGCUGUCCACUUCCCAUGCUGGGAAUGUCCUGUGGGACUUAACUGAACUUCAUGUUUGUUUGAACAGCAUUUAGAAAAGAUAAAGAAGGAACUACAAAAUCUAGAGAUAUUAACACCAGGUGAUUCACCUUUGCUGACUUCAGCCACCUAAAAUUUUGCAGUCUGACUUCCUAGGAUGUAUCUGCCCACCUAGAUAAAAGAGAGCCAGGACUGCAUUUGAGCUCUGAAGCCAUGGCUGCCUGCUGACCUGGAGCACUGUCUCUGAUCUGGACCAUUCCAGAAUUGUUUUA